AUGAGAAGGAAAACAAAAGCACAGCGAAUUCUUGACUACGAAAAUGAAGAGGACGAGGAAGAAGAGGAACAAAAAGCGGACUGCUUCAGCAACGGUGCACAGAAACGAAGAAAAAUGUUUUCCACCAAAGAAAAAGCAGAAGAAAAUAGCUCAUCCACCGCCAGGCUUCAGAAGUUAACGUUAGACAUGAAGGUUAAUGAGCUGGAUUGUUCUUCCGCAGACCUCUAUGCUGACAGUCCUCCUGCUUCUGAGUCUGAGGAGGCUCAUUUUUUACAGUCCUAUUCAAAGAAGGAGCUCAUUGCCAUAGUCUUAUGCAUGCAGAGGGAAAUGGAUGACUUGAAGGAACAACUUAGGUGCCUAACAGCAUGUGGAAAGCUAGGAAGAAACCUGGAAAUACUAAUCGAGAAGACCAAGAUGUGGUCAAAUGGGAACAACGGUACCUCUCUCGGGACUCAAGGCAUGGUACAGGCACCUGCCGAGGUGGAUGCUGUGAUUCCAGAUGUAUGUUCUCCUCCAGCUAUUAUGAAUGGGCAAUGGCUGAAUCAGGGUCCAGGACCACAGAAACCUCACAAGGCCACUCAGAAUGCUCUGAGGGAUGGGCUCUUCACAGAGUUUAUCACUCCUGAACUUUUGGAGAGUUGUAACACAGGCACCACUGCCCAAAAACUGACCAAUGACCUUCUCCGUGGACUCUACGAGAGGGAAUGCCUGGCUUCCCACUCCAUAUCUGGAGUUGUGUACAAUAAAAGAGGCCAGCCAAAGCCUGCUCUGCCUACCGAAGAGGUCGAGGCAAUCCUGAGAACCGUUCACUAUUUCUUUCCUGGCAAGACUGAUGUAGAGAUCAAGGGCUACAUCCGACAGAAACUGCAAAACGAAGCCAAGAGACUGAGGAAGAAACCAUCACUCUCAGGCCAAUACGAGGCUAGUGGUCUCAAUGUACCAUUAGAUAUGAUCGACCAAAAUUGAAACAUAUGGUUGGUUAGGGGAUAUCAAUUGUAUGUUCUCCAUGAAGUUAGCCUUAUUCGGUGUUACUUACAUUUAAGAAUCGUGGACUCAAGUGAAGUUGAUGUGCAUUGACAAUAGUCUUUAAAGAAAGUCACAAUGAUCUCUUGCGGCAACUGUUUGGCUGUUGGCGGUUGUGACGUUACAUAUGUGAAAAUGCAAAUGAGCGGUUCCAGAUAAGUCCAAGGCCCCGUCCACACGGAGAUGCGUUUCUGUGAAUAUGCACACAUUUUUUAUCGGAUCGGCAUUUCGUCCACACUGAUCCGGCGUUUUCGCAAGGUGAAACCGCUAUUUUUUGAAACCGGGUCCCAAAGUGGAUAAAUUUGAAAACGCCGUCUUUGCGUUUUUGUCUGGACAGCUAAUCCGUAUAUUUUCUGAAACGAUGACGUCAUCAGCCCACGUCUCCCCCCUAGUCAGACAGCUCUACGUCAUGUAA
rnacentral:lncRNA from 1 species